AUUGCUUUAGUUUAUGUUGAACAUAGAUUUUGCACGUCUAAAGAACAAGUAAUU
rnacentral:tRNA from 1 species